CUCCCUGAGGUUGAAAGACCCCCGAAGGGAGACCCUCACUCAAGCCUCGGGACAGCCGCGGACCCAAGAAGACACUGAGACUG
rnacentral:pre_miRNA from 7 species